ACGUGGGUGAUCUGCCUUGCACUUCGGGAUAAGCCUGGGAAACUGGGUCUAAUACCGGAUAUGACCUCGGGAUGCAUGUUCUGGGGUGGAAAGAUUUAUCGGUGCGAGAUGGGCCCGCGGCCUAUCAGCUUGUUGGUGAGGUAACGGCUCACCAAGGCGACGACGGGUAGCCGACCUGAGAGGGUGACCGGCCACACUGGGACUGAGACACGGCCCAGACUCCUACGGGAGGCAGCAGUGGGGAAUAUUGCACAAUGGGCGAAAGCCUGAUGCAGCGACGCCGCGUGCGGGAUGACGGCCUUCGGGUUGUAAACCGCUUUUGACAGGGACGAAGCGCGAGUGACUGUACCUGUAGAAUAAGGACCGGCCAACUACGUGCCAGCAGCCGCGGUAAUACGUAGGGUCCGAGCGUUGUCCGGAAUUACUGGGCGUAAAGAGCUUGUAGGCGGUUCGUCGCGUCGUUUGUGAAAACUUGGGGCUCAACCUUAAGCUUGCAGGCGAUACGGGCGGACUAGAGUACUUCAGGGGAGACUGGAAUUCCUGGUGUAGCGGUGAAAUGCGCAGAUAUCAGGAGGAACACCGGUGGCGAAGGCGGGUCUCUGGGAAGUAACUGACGCUGAGAAGCGAAAGCAUGGGUAGCAAACAGGAUUAGAUACCCUGGUAGUCCAUGCCGUAAACGGUGGGUACUAGGUGUGGGGCUCCUUCCACGGACUCCGUGCCGUAGCUAACGCAUUAAGUACCCCGCCUGGGGAGUACGGCCGCAAGGCUAAAACUCAAAGAAAUUGACGGGGGCCCGCACAAGCGGCGGAGCAUGUGGAUUAAUUCGAUGCAACGCGAAGAACCUUACCUGGGUUUGACAUACACCAGAAACACGUAGAGAUACGUGCCCCCUUGUGGUUGGUGUACAGGUGGUGCAUGGCUGUCGUCAGCUCGUGUCGUGAGAUGUUGGGUU
rnacentral:rRNA from 1 species